rnacentral:rRNA from 1 species
AGGAUGAACGCUGGCGGCGUGCUUAAUACAUGCAAGUCGAACGAAGCUCCUUUUCUUCGGAUGAGGAGUCUUAGUGGCGAACGGGUGCGUAACGCGUUGGUAACCUGCCCCAAAGAGGGGGAUAACAGUUCGAAAGGACUGCUAAUACCCCAUACGAUCAUCAGGGUUAGAUACUUGAUGAUUAAAGGAGUAAUCCGCUUUGGGAGGGGCCUGCGUCCCAUCAGCUAGUUGGUAGGGUAAUGGCCUACCAAGGCGAUGACGGGUAGGGGACCUGAGAGGGUGGCCCCCCACACUGGCACUGAAAUACGGGCCAGACACCUACGGG